CCGCGUCUCCAUAUAAAUGGCCCGGUGUAGACAAAACCGAAGACGCGGUGCAGUGACGGUGCAGAACAGACGUUUCGGCCUCAACCACCUCUACAGCAGCUAUGCCGCUCAAAAUACACAUCGUUUAUUGUGGCGCCUGAGGGUACCGAAGUCGGUUUCACCGCCUCAAGGAUGAACUUGAAACCGAGUUCCCUGGAGAGCUGGAGAUAACUGGUGAGGGGACCCCGACGCAGACUGGCUUCCUGGAGGUGCAGAUUGUGGGAGGGAAACUUCUCCACUCCAAGGCCAACGGCGAUGGGUUUGUAGACUCGGAUGAGAAGCUACAAAAGAUCUUCAGUGGAGUGGAGAAAGCCCUCAAAAAGAAGUAGCCAGAAUGUGAAGCAGAAGCAUGCUUUGCUUCUUAACAGAGCUUUAACAGGACUUGUGGUCGUUUCACCGUGAGCCGGCGUCGGAUGAAGGAGAUGGCGGAAAAGCUUCGGCCUAGUCGUCUCCCGAGGGCUCUCAGCGCCCUGCCACGAUGAACAAACCACUAAGGAGUUAAACUCUUGUCAAUCCUCUCCUCUGCAUACGCAUCUAUCACUUUGUUGAAACUGGGGAGGAGACAUUGGUGUUUUUUUUAUUGAUUAUAAAUUUCACUUGGGGGUAGGUAUGUUGUCAAUGGUAUCGUUUAAUUCACGCAGACUUUACUUCGAAAAUUGGUCUAAAAUAAACCCAUCUUGAUAGAAUGCAUUGAAUCAGACGCAAGACUUUGUUGUGUUUACUGUUCUAAAGUAUGUUUUUUAAUAGUUUUCAAUUGUUGGGCUUAACACUGAUAACUGUUCCUUCGAAAAAGCAAAUAACUGAAAACACGCGUUGCAGGGGUUUAACUUUGGCUAAUCAUUGUCCCAAACUAAGGAAGUUUUGUAGUAAUGGCAUGCAUACAUGUCCUAAUUGGUAUUGGCAGUAAACACAAUGCAUUCCGAGUCUUCAAUACAUAUAAACAUUUAGCAGUUUCAAAAACCAUUCGGGACUGGUCCAGUCUGAUAUUUGACAACACGUUUUAUUUAUUGAGCAUACAUUGCACCAUUUAUAUCAACGUUGAUUAGCCAAAACCAAUUUCAAGUAUGCUGCUGCAGUGGAGGAGUCGUCGUGCAUUGCAUUUCACACUGCUAAAAAAUAAUCCGACACUUGGUUCCCCAUAUUACAACGGAGCCAUUUAAAUGAGCAGUGUCGUCUACUGUAUAACAGUACAGCUACUGUACUCGGCAGGGAUUUUGUCUUAACACCUAUGUAUAGACACCUUACACGCAGCUUCUGAAUACACUCCACACCUCAAAUGUUUUCGAUAGGUACAUUUUGCAAAUAUUGCCCUGUGGAAUAUUUGAGAUAUGCAGUGCUCAAUAAAAUUACUUAAGUUAUGAUAAAUGAAA